rfam:Lactococcus lactis subsp. lactis Il1403, complete genome.
AAAAUUUAAAACAACAAGAAAGUAACUUUGAUUUUGAAAUCUUUAGGAAGUUGGUGGUUGUGCAAACCAACGUUUUCAGCAAAGUGAAUGGGCUUGUGAUUAACUAAUAAAUUUGAUUUAAAAAAAUAAAGAAUCACGGCCGCUUCCGUUACAGAGCAACUUGUUUUUUGACAAGUUCUAAGAAAAUCAUUUGAUUUUAAAUUUACGGUGGCACCGCGCUCAAAGCGCCCGUAGG